CUGAAGUAUUCCUCUUGAGAACUGUGCCCGCCGAAAUCUCCUCAGGAUUACGUUAACCGCCAAAUCUUUCUCUCAGCGGCUGAUCUGCUUCAUUCUAGCAGCGGCCCGCCGGCGACAAAACCAACUCGGGCUGAAGGACCCUUCCCUUUGACAAGGACAAAACAGAGACUGAGAGGGCUUCAUACAGGAAUGUAUGCUCUAAACCAUGUGGAAUGACUCCAGUAACUCACUCUUACUUUACUCAUAUUCGACCGCCGAGAAUGGGUCAUACGUAAUUACAGUGCGCAGUGGGCGUGUUUAAACAGGCAUUCAUGAUGAGAAGGCCAUCCCGGACCUUUCGGUUCACCUUAAAUGGAAUCUCAGGUAUGUGGUCGUCAGCACUUAAGGGCCAUUAAUCCACCUGCACUCUCAGGAACAAACAGACCAGACACUCACAAAUCGGCCAGAGAAAUGGGCCUGUCCGAACUUGCUGACUAACGGCCUUUGCUCCUGAAAGUGUUGCAUAAGUGGAGAUGUUUCAGGAGGUUUCAUAAGACAAGUGGAGAUGACAUUUAUUCCCUCAGGUUCUUAAAGUAUUCAAAUGUCUUCAUUUGGCACCCAGGCUUCAGUGUUCAUUGUCUCUUACACACAGAGCUGAUUUCUGUCCCAAGAUGCAGUGACAUUAAUUAGGAAUGGCAUU